rnacentral:rRNA from 1 species
UACGUAGGGUGCAAGCGUUGUCCGGAAUUAUUGGGCGUAAAGAGCUCGUAGGCGGUUUGUUGCGUCGGCUGUGAAAUCCCGAGGCUCAACCUCGGGUCUGCAGUCGAUACGAGCAAACUAGAGUGUUGCAGGGGAGACUGGAAUUCCUGGUGUAGCGGUGAAAUGCGCAGAUAUCAGGAGGAACACCGGUGGCGAAGGCGGGUCUCUGGGCAACAACUGACGCUGAGGAGCGAAAGCCGUGGGGAGCGAAC